AUCUCUGGCGCCGCUCAUCCACCCUCGCAAACUUUGGAACACUAUCUGUUUCUCUCAAUUUCAUUAACUAUUUCGUACUUUUGUCGAGAUUUCCGGCGCCUGAAGAGCCAAUGAAUGAAAGGGAGCCUCUAGUGAAAACAACAGAUGAGGGCGGAAAA
ensembl:ncRNA ZC328.6 ncRNA